rnacentral:rRNA from 1 species
CAGUAGCCGCGGGAAUACGGAGGAUCCGAGCGUUAUCCGGAUUUAUUGGGUUUAAAGGGUGCGUAGGCGGCCUAUUAAGUCAGGGGUGAAAGACGGUAGCUUAACUAUCGCAGUGCCUUUGAUACUGAUGGGCUUGAAUGUACUUGAAGUGGGCGGAAUGUGACAAGUAGCGGUGAAAUGCAUAGAUAUGUCACAGAACACCGAUUGCGAAGGCAGCUCACCAAAGUAUGAUUGACGCUGAGGCACGAAAGCGUGGGGAUCAAACAGGAUUAGAUACCCCCGUAGUCCCUGUCUCUUAUAC